GGGGUUGUGGCUCAGUGGUAGAGUGCUGGCCUAGCGUGCCUGAGGCACUGGGUUCGAUCCCCAGCACCACA
rnacentral:tRNA from 1 species